rnacentral:rRNA from 1 species
GUGACGAAGCGUGAGUGACGGUAAUGGGUAAAGAAGCACCGGCUAACUACGUGCCAGCAGCCGCGGUGAUACGUAGGGUGCGAGCGUUGUCCGGAUUUAUUGGGCGUAAAGGGCUCGUAGGUGGUUGAUCGCGUCGGAAGUGUAAUCUUGGGGCUUAACCCUGAGCGUGCUUUCGAUACGGGUUGACUUGAGGAAGGUAGGGGAGAAUGGAAUUCCUGGUGGAGCGGUGGAAUGCGCAGAUAUCAGGAGGAACACCAGUGGCGAAGGCGGUUCUCUGGGCCUUUCCUGACGCUGAGGAGCGAAAGCGUGGGGAGCGAACAGGCUUAGAUACCCUGGUAGUCCACGCUGUAAACGGUGGGUACUAAAGUGUGGGGUCCAUUCCCCGGGUUCCGUGCCGUAGCUAACGCUUUAAGUACCCCCCCCUGGGGGAGUACGGCCGCAAGGCUAAAACUCCAAGGAAUUGACGG